rnacentral:rRNA from 1 species
GAUGAACGCUGGCGGCGUGCCUAAUACAUGCAAGUCGAGCGAACGGACGAGAAGCUUGCUUCUCUGAUGUUAGCGGCGGACGGGUGAGUAACACGUGGAUAACCUACCUAUAAGACUGGGAUAACUUCGGGAAACCGGAGCUAAUACCGGAUAAUAUUUUGAACCGCAUGGUUCAAAAGUGAAAGACGGUCUUGCUGUCACUUAUAGAUGGAUCCGCGCUGCAUUAGCUAGUUGGUAAGGUAACGGCUUACCAAGGCAACGAUGCAUAGCCGACCUGAGAGGGUGAUCGGCCACACUGGAACUGAGACACGGUCCAGACUCCUACGGGAGGCAGCAGUAGGGAAUCUUCCGCAAUGGGCGAAAGCCUGACGGAGCAACGCGGCGUGAGUGAUGAAGGUCUUCGGAUCGUAAAACUCUGUUAUUAGGGAAGAACAUAUGUGUAAGUAACUGUGCACAUCUUGACGGUACCUAAUCAGAAAGCCACGGCUAACUACGUG